rnacentral:lncRNA from 1 species
CUCAGGAGUCAUACUACAUGAGCCUGGACCCAGUGGUUCUUUAUGUGGAAACAGAUGUCAGCUAUAGGUAACCUGGUAACUGCUAUUUUCUUCAUCUGCUCUGUCAAAAAAGGUAUCAGUGACUUGCAGGAGAUGCCUUUAAUACUCAGAGCAUUCUAUCUCCUCCUAUCUGGUUUAGAAGGAAGGCCUUCAUUAGUUACCUAUUGAAAAGUUACCAGAAUUCUCUAUUAGAGAUUUACCCUCUUGACCUGAUAAAAAGGGAUAUCCAUGUCUCUGUUAACAGCUUUAUCUCUUUCUACAGUUGUGGGUAUUUGAUAAGGUUAAGGCAAAAUUUUAGUUAUGCUUAAGGAGGAGUUCUUUUUUCACAAUUAUAGAGAAAAUUUUGGUUUGUUGAAGAUUGCAGAAAUAGAAAUGGUAAUAUAAGACAGUUUUGGCUUUUCAUUUUUUUCUUGAAACUCUACAGUAUACUACAAUAGUGAAGGAAACUAUUAACAUGAGAGAUCCUUCUGAAUAGGAUGUCUUUCUGAGUUCCACUAUUCGGUUACAGAACUCCUUAAUGCUUAAAAUUCAUUAUGAAAAUUAGAUUUAUUUUAAAUACUUUCAAGUGUAUACAUUUUUAUUUCAUAAUUUUUAUUCUGUUUGUCUUUUAACUAAAGCAUUUAGUUCAUUUAUAUUUACUGUGUACAUUUUAUAUUUAAUAUAUUUAUAUUUGCU